AUCUCUUUCUGGAGAUUGCUGCCUUUGGAGUUUCCUACUGUGAGCCUAGGACACAGUAUUUGGAAACUUGAAGUAUGUGUUGAAUGAACAUUUGACAAUUGAAAAACAUCCGAAAGUACAAAUAGAUGUUGAGGUAACUACUAGCACUGAAGAAUUCCUUAAUUAGCUCUUUAAACUGAGUUGGGCUUCAUGCAAAGGGAAAUGUGACAGACUGGCUGUUUGUUUGUUUCUUUGUUUUUUAAUACUUCUGGGAUGGAAAUUCACCACUUGGUAUUUGGGAUCACACCAGUGAAAAUUCAGAUGAAUUGAGUCUCUAUAGAUAUAAAUGUGUUCCUGUUCUUUGAGAUUACUCAGAACCACAUAGAAGAGCUGGUUCUGGUUGUUAAGAAUGUUGCUGCUUCAAUAAGUGAUUUUUAUGAAGGCAGCAGGUACUGAGGCUGCAGAAUCAUGGCAAUGGGAAGGAAACGUCUUUUUUCCAUCUAUUAUUUCACUUAAUUUAUAGUAAUGUAGUAUUCAAAUUUGAAGCAUGAUUUUGAAUGGGAUGCUUAUAAAGCAAAACUACAACUAAGUAAGUUUCAGUAAGACAGUUUUGAUUAGUAAGUAGCAUUUUCAAAAUGUUAUAUUUGGUUACUGAAAUCUUAUCUGUUAGUGCCCAACGUUGACUGCGCUUUUCAAAGCAAAUAAUUUUUGAGAAACACAAUGAAAAAUUAAAUGAAAAAAUUGCAAGUAGAAUUUGAACAAAACUGUAUUUUAUUGCUAAUAGAUACUCAAUUCAUUUUUAAAUGCUUUCUCAUGAGGUUUAGUAUUCUGUAACAAGAAAAUAAGCUAAUGUUCUUUAAAUCGUAAAUGAGGCUUCAAAAAUUAGAUGGCAUAUCUAAAAGUUGUGUCAAUUUACUACAACAUUUAAUAUUUAUAGUCAUUUUUAUUCUAAUGGGAUAGAGCUGUUUUAUUUUUAUUGUAGAUUUUCACAGCUUGGUGGUAGCAUAGCUAAUAGAGCAUGCAGGGCCGAUGCAUUGACCCAUUCGCAAAAUGCUUUUCUGAGAUUUACAGCCAUCACAAUGCAGCAAAAAUUUGCUGAUUUACUCAAGAAACUUCCAGCACAAGAAAAUGUGAAAUGGUUCAACUGAUGUCUACUAUUGAUAUCUUCUUCUUUCUCAUUGCCAAAGUGAAGUAAGUGACCAAUGUAUUAGCAGCCCAGUUGAAGUUAACAGUAUGAUCUUUGGAAACAUUCUGCAAGUGAUACUGUUUUAGCUUCCACUUUGUAUCAUAACAAAUAUAUAAAAUGUUUUGAGUCUUCUGUUCGAAAAUUCCAGUUAUACCAAUAUCAUCACCAAUUUUAUUUGGACUGUGACCAUGCUAGGUCUCAUUCAGAUCUUAUGUACCUAUAGCUACAGCAUUAGAUCAUUUUUCAAUAGCCUCCUAAAGUUUGUCCUAAACUAAGACCAAAGCCUGAAUUCACGUACAGUCGUGAUCUUUAAAAAUUAUGCAAUUGAAAGACUCCUCCAGACUUCAGUAGAUAUUUGCAUUGGUCCCUUUAUAUCAAUAUGCUUUCAGAAUUAGUCUUGGAAUUAACUGUGUAUUGAAGUUGAUUUUAUAUCUGUUCCAGCAAUGCUGGGGGAAAAAAAAAAUGUUCACUC
ensembl:lncRNA